CCAGACUCCUACGGGAGGCAGCAGUGAGGAAUAUUGGUCAAUGGGAGGAAUCCUGAACCAGCCAUGCCGCGUGCAGGACGACGGCUCUACGAGUUGUAAACUGCUUUUGUACCGGGGUAAAAUGCCUUACGAGUAGGGUUUUGAAAGUACAGUACGAAUAAGGAUCGGCUAACUCCGUGCCAGCAGCCGCGGUAAUACGGAGGAUCCGAGCGUUAUCCGGAUUCAUUGGGUUUAAAGGGUGCGCAGGCGGCGAGUUAAGUCAGCGGUAAAAUUUCGGGGCACAACCCCGACAAGCCGUUGAAACUGCAUCCCUUGAGUGCGCGAGAAGUAUGCGGAAUGCGUGGUGUAGCGGUGAAAUGCAUAGAUAUCACGCAGAACCCCGAUUGCGAAGGCAGCAUACCGGCGCGCAACUGACGCUCAUGCACGAAAGCGUGGGUAUCGAACAGGAUUAGAUACCCGAGUAU
rnacentral:rRNA from 1 species